GAUGAGCGCUAGCGGCAGGCCUAAUACAUGCAAGUCGAGGGGUAGAAGAGGCUUGCUUCUUUGAGACCGGCGCACGGGUGCGUAACGCGUAUGCAACCUACCUUCAUCUGGGGGAUAGCCCGGAGAAAUCCGGAUUAAUACCGCAUAAAAUCACAGGAUGGCAUUAUCCAAUGAUCAAACAUUUAUGGGAUGGAGAUGGGCAUGCGUGUCAUUAGCUAGUUGGCGGGGUAACGGCCCACCAAGGCGACGAUGACUAGGGAAUCUGAGAGGAUGGACCCCCACACUGGUACUGAGACACGGACCAGAGUCCUCCGGGAGGCAGCAGUAAGGAAUAUUGGUCAAUGGAGGCAACUCUGAACCAGCCAUUCCGCGUGCAGGAAGACUGCCCUAUGGGUUGUAAACUGCUUUUAUUCGGGAAUAAACCUUAUUACGUGUAAUAAGCUGAAUGUACCGAAGGAAUAAGGAUCGGCUAACUCCGUGCCAGCCGCCGCGGUAA
rnacentral:rRNA from 1 species